GUGGGUAUGGCGCAGUCGGCUAGCGCGCCAGAUUGUGGCUCUGGAGGCCGAGGGUUCGAGUCCCUCUAUCCACC
rnacentral:tRNA from 2 species